GUUUAAAAAUCAGAAUUCAAAAAUCAGAGGCCAAGUUUUAUUAUUCACAAUUUAGGUAUUAAUAAAUAAAACAACCAAUUGCAAACCCUAUUUCCAGUCUCUCUCCUCUCUCUAAACACACGGUGAUAGCAACCGAUUUUUCUCCGGUGUUUUGUGCAAUGCAGCGGCGCCGAUUGGCCCCCAUUUCUCUCCAGUGGUUUUUGAUGAGUGCGAUAGCUUCAGCACCUUCAAGCUGCUCGCACAUGACGCUGCAGAUGACAGUGCUGUAGUGGUUUUAGAUCUCAUAUUGCAGCUGUGGUGACAAUGUGACAACGCCUGCUGCAGUUGUAACUCAGCUGUAUUAUGGCGGAUCUGAUUUGAUUUUGAGUGUGGCGAAUCUAGUAGCGACUAUUGUGGUUGAUGGGUGGCAAUGGUGGUGAAAUAAAAGUUGGAAGCUGCUUUGGAAGUGAGGCAUCUAGAUUUGGUGGCGGCGAGGGUGGUGGAUCUGGUGGCGACAACAAGGGUAGAGAUGGUGAGGGACAACAAGGGUAGAGAUGGUGAGGCGGUGCUAUUUGUGGUGUUUGAGAUGACAGGGCUGGUCGUGAAUAGGUGUUGGUUGGAAAUGGUGGUUGUAGUAAUGACGGAGAUGGUGAAGUAGUGAUGACUUUGCAGUGAUGGCUUUUUGUGGGGUGUUGGUUUUGUAGCU
rnacentral:lncRNA from 1 species